GACGAACGCUGGCGGCGUGCCUAAUACAUGCAAGUCGAGCGAGCGGCGGACGGGUGAGUAAUGUCUGGGAAACUGCCUGAUGGAGGGGGAUAACUACUGGAAACUGUAGCUAAUACCGCAUACCAUCAGAUGUGCCCAGUUGGGAUUAGCUAGUAGGUGGGGUAAAGGCUCACCUAGCCGACGAUCCCUAGCUGGUCUGAGAGGAUGACCAGCCACACUGGAACGUAGACACGGCCCAGACUCCUACGGGAGGCGGCAGUGGGGAAUAUUGCACAAUGGGCGCAAGCCUGAUGCAGCCAUGCCGCGUGUGUGAAGAAGGCCUUCGGGUUGUAAAGCACUUUCGGCGGGGAGGCGUUACUCACAGAAGAAGCACCGGCUAACUCCGUGCCAGCAGCCGCGGUAAUUC
rnacentral:rRNA from 1 species